rnacentral:rRNA from 1 species
UGCCAGCCGCCGCGGUAAUACGAGGGGUCCUAGCGUUGUUCGGAAUCAUUGGGCGUAAAGCGGGUGUAGGCGGAAAUGUAGGUCAGAAGUGAAAGUCCAGGGCUCAACCCUGGAAGUGCUUUUGAAACCCCAUUUCUUGAGUGCAGGAGAGGAGAGUGGAAUUCCAGGUGUAGUGGUGAAAUACGUAGAUAUCCGGAGGAACAUCGGUGGCGAAGGCGGCUCUCUGGCCUGUUACUGACGCUCAGACCCGAAAGCGUGGGGAGCAAACAGGAUUAGAUA